UACGGGGGGGGCAAGCGUUGUUCGGAAUUACUGGGCGUAAAGGGCGCGUAGGCGGCCACCGCAAGUCAGUUGUGAAAUCUCUGGGCUUAACCCAGAAAGGUCAACUGAUACUGCGGGGCUAGAGUGCAGAAGGGGCAACUGGAAUUCUCGGUGUAGCGGUGAAAUGCGUAGAUAUCGGGAGGAACACCAGUGGCGAAGGCGACUACCUGGCCUGUUCUUGACGCUGAGGCGCGAAAGCUAGGGGAGCAAACGGG
rnacentral:rRNA from 1 species